UUGGAAAUUUAUUUUCAGUGUCGCAGGGAAACCGAUAAACACACCGCCUGGGGAGUACGACCGCAAGGUUAAAACUCAAAUGAAUUGACGGGGACCCGCACAAGUAGUGGAGCAUGUGGUUUAAUUCGAAGAUACGCGCAGAACCUUACCAACACUUGACAUGUUCGUCGCGACUCUAAGAGAUUAGAGUUUUCGGUUCGGCCGGACGAAACACAGGUGCUGCAUGGCUGUCGUCAGCUCGUGUCGUGAGAUGUUGGGUUAAGUCCCGCAACGAGCGCAACCCUCACUUUUAGUUGCCAUCAUUAAGUUGGGCACUCUGAAAGAACUGCCAGUGAUAAGCUGGAGGAAGGUGGGGAUGACGUCAAGUCCUCAUGGCCCUUACGUGUUGGGCUACACACGUGCUACAAUGGCAUCUACAACAGGAAGCAAAACGGCAACGUUAAGCAAAUCCCGAAAAGAUGCCUCAGUUCGGAUUGCACUCUGCAACUCGAGUGCAUGAAGCUGGAAUUACUAGUAAUCGUGGAUCAGCGUGCCACGGUGAAUGCGUUCCCGGGUCUUGUACACACCGCCCGUCACACCAUGGGAGUUGGUUCUACCUUAAGGCAAGGCUUUAAACCCUUGACCACGGUAUAGUCAGCGACUGGGGUG
rnacentral:rRNA from 1 species